GGUAUGGAAUCCUGCGGUAUCCAUGAAACAACCUUCAACAGCAUCAUGAAGUGCGAUGUGGACAUCCGUAAGGACCUCUACGCC